UCUACGGGAGGCAGCAGUGAGGGAUAUUGCACAAUGGGCGAAAGCCUGAUGCAGCAACGCCGCGUGAGGGAUGACGGUUUUCGGAUUGUAAACCUCUGUCUUCAGUGACGAAUCAAUGACGGUAACUGAGGAGGAAGCCACGGCUAACUACGUGCCAGCAGCCGCGGUAAUA
rnacentral:rRNA from 1 species